GGUGGACGGACCUCUAGUGUGCGAGCUGUUCCGCCAGGAGCAUUGCUCGGUAGCUAUGUCCGGCAGGGAUAAGCGCUGAAGGCAUCUAAGCGCGAAACCCGCCUGAAGAUGAGACCUCCCGGGGCGUAAGCCCCCUGAAGGGCCCUCGUAGAUUACGAGGUUGAUAGGCCGGAGGUGUAAGCACCGUGAGGUGUUCAGCUUACCGGUACUAAUCGCCCGUGCGGCUUGACCAC
rnacentral:rRNA from 1 species